CCAAAUCCACUCUGGGUCCAGAAUGAUGACAUCUUAACCAAUUACACCUGCAGAGAUCUAUGUCUGAGCAUCAUCACCUCCAAGGUGCUGGGUAGAUGUGAGAGGUUUGGGGAGACUCUGUUCAAUCUGUGCAGGAAGUUUGUUGUGAAGAGCAGCCCCCUUUGCCCCAGCGUGGGGGGGACUUUAUUUCUCACUCCACUGUUCACCCCUGAAAUACCCCAAAGCUGUAUGUGAUAUUAAGGAAGUCACAUGUUUUCUGAAGGUGUUUCUUUUCUUGCUUCUUUCCCUAGGGACAGAAGGCGAGCAGGUGCUUUCUCCCCCGGGCAGGGGAGGCGAAACCGAGCCCGGGACGGUGGGCCCGCAGAUCAGAAGGGAGUCUCCUGAGGCUGUGAGCCCCCAGCCGCUCCUGGCCCCUUCUCACCUCUGCAUUUACCGUGCCUUCAGCCACUCAGACGGCUCCUGAGGGCCCGACUGACCACCCAGGCUGCUCCUGCCCAGCACCCCACCUCGUUCAGAUGAAGCAUCGGCGGGUUUUCCUGACUGGCAAAGUUGUCCUAGAAAGGCACCCUGCCCCUCGCAGACUGACUGGGGGAAGCCAAAACAAAGUGUGAACUCCAAGAGUCUCCUACGUAUUAUGAUGUUCUAUGCUCCGUGGAACACUGCAGUGCGCUUGUUAUGGUUUAUUUCAUAAGUAGAUGCACCUUAAGAACAAUUUAUUCCUAUAUUAAUACCUCUUAAGGGAGACAUCAUCAGCCUGACUAGAAAGCAUGAUUAUGGUAAAGUCCUGGGGAAGACCUGGCAAAGCGAGGCAGCAAAAUCAAUAAAGAAGUAAAGCUGCUCGCGGCACAUUCGCGGAAGGGCUCGAGGGGGCACCCCACCGUGCCACUGAGUCUGCUCGUGGGGUGCCCAGCCCAGCACCCCCUCGCCCCCUGAUGCCCGUCUACAGCACAUGGGAACCGAAGUUGGCUGAGGGCCCAGCCACGUGUGGG
rnacentral:lncRNA from 1 species